AGUAAGAAACAUCCUAAUGUAAAAGUUCCUCCCUCCUCACCGUUUGCAUUUGUAAAAGUGUGUUUAUUGAGGAAGAAAUUUCUCUCAAGAUCUGAAGUUGCCAACAAAGUGGCUUGGUCUUGUGGAUGCUUACUUGAAAAUAAAUCUUACUAAAUUUGAUGGGAGUUACUCCCAGGACUAAGCAAUCCCAUGGUGAAUCUGAUGUUUAUGCUGAGUAGCGGAAGAACCCUUUAUCCUUGAUUAUGGCUAGACCAGGCUCAAGAGUACCGGAAACUGGAGUGAUGCAAGGUUUCCAAACAGAAAGUACAAUGACUGUGUAAUCAACAGGAAAGUGCAAUCACAGAAAAGUAAAAUCAACUUGC